ACGAACGCUGGCGGCGUGCCUAAUACAUGCAAGUCGAGCGGACAGAAGGGAGCUUGCUCCCGGAUGUUAGCGGCGGACGGGUGAGUAACACGUGGGUAACCUGCCUGUAAGACUGGGAUAACUCCGGGAAACCGGAGCUAAUACCGGAUAGUUCCUUGAACCGCAUGGUUCAAGGAUGAAAGACGGUUUCGGCUGUCACUUACAGAUGGACCCGCGGCGCAUUAGCUAGUUGGUGGGGUAAUGGCUCACCAAGGCGACGAUGCGUAGCCGACCUGAGAGGGUGAUCGGCCACACUGGGACUGAGACACGGCCCAGACUCCUACGGGAGGCAGCAGUAGGGAAUCUUCCGCAAUGGACGAAAGUCUGACGGAGCAACGCCGCGUGAGUGAUGAAGGUUUUCGGAUCGUAAAGCUCUGUUGUUAGGGAAGAACAAGUGCGAGAGUAACUGCUCGCACCUUGACGGUACCUAACCAGAAAGCCACGGCUAACUACGUGCCAGA
rnacentral:rRNA from 1 species